AGAGUUUGAUCCUGGCUCAGAACGAACGCUGGCGGCAGGCCUAACACAUGCAAGUCGAACGAUAAGCCACCUUCGGGUGGUGGACAGUGGCAGACGGGUGAGUAACGCGUGGGAACGUGCCUUUCGGUUCGGAAUAACCCAGGGAAACUUGGGCUAAUACCGGAUACGCCCUUCGGGGGAAAGAUUCAUUGCCGAAAGAUCGGCCCGCGUCGGAUUAGCUAGUUGGUGGGGUAAUGGCUCACCAAGGCGACGAUCCGUAGCUGGUCUGAGAGGAUGACCAGCCACACUGGGACUGAGACACGGCCCAGACUCCUACGGGAGGCAGCAGUGGGGAAUAUUGGACAAUGGGCGCAAGCCUGAUCCAGCCAUGCCGCGUGGGUGAAGAAGGCCUUAGGGUUGUAAACCCCUUUCAGCGGGGAAGAUAAUGACGUACCCGCAGAAGA
rnacentral:rRNA from 1 species